rnacentral:rRNA from 1 species
GACGGAGGGGGCUAGCGUUGUUCGGAAUGACUGGGCGUAAAGGGCGCGUAGGCGGUUUUUUAAGUGAGGCGUGAAAGCCCUGGGCUUAACCCAGGAGGUGCGUUUCAUACUGGAAGACUUGAGUACGAGAGAGGAAAGUGGAAUUCCUAGUGUAGAGGUGAAAUUCGUAGAUAUUAGGAAGAACACCAGUGGCGAAGGCGACUUUCUGGCUCGUAACUGACGCUGAGGCGCGAAAGCGUGGGGAGCAAACAGG